AACUUCUUUCAUUUUGUUCUGGCGCUCUAAGAUAGGCAGGGACAGCCGGUGGAGAUUGAGCGCACGGCCUUCGUGGACUUUGUGGAGAACGACAAAGAGCAAGGCAAUGAGAAGACCAACAAUGGUACUCAUUACAAGUUACAGCUCCUUUACAGCAAGGGUGUCCUUACAGAGCAGGACCUCUAUGUCAGGCUCAUCGACUCUGUCACCAAACAG